rnacentral:rRNA from 1 species
GAGUUUGAUCCUGGCUCAGAAUGAACGCUGGCGGCAUGCUUUACACAUGCAAGUUGAGCGGUUACUGCAAAGUAACAGCAGCGCACUGGUGAGUAACACGUAAGAACGUACCCUUAGGACUGGGAUAACUUACUGAAAAGUAAGCUAAUACCAGAUAUUUUUUCUAUGAAAACAAAGUGGGUUAACCACACCUUUGGAUCGGCUUGCGUCCCAUCAGCUAGUUGGUAAGGUAAAUGCUUACCAAGGCUAAGACGGGUAGCUAGUCUGAGAGGACGAUUAGCCACACUGGGAUUGAGAUACGGCCCAGACUUCUACGGAAGGCAGCAGUGAGGAAUAUUGGUCAAUGGGCGAAAGCCUGAACCAGCAAUGCCGCGUGAGUGAUGAAGGCUCUCGAGUCGUAAAACUCUGUCAGAAAGAAAGAAAAAGCUUGCUUAAUAGCAAGCCUUGACGGUACUUUCAAAGGAAGCACCGGCUAACUCUGUGCCAGCAGCCGCGGUAAUACAGGGGGUGCAAGCGUUAUUCGGAUUUAUUGGGCGUAAAGAGCGUGUAGGUUGUUUGUUAAGUCAAUCGUGAAAUCUCUUAGCUUAACUAAGAAACUGCAAUUGAUACUGGCAUACUAGAGUAUCGAAGAGGAUGGCGGAAUUUUCGGUGUAGAGGUGAGAUUCGUAGAUAUCGAAAGGAACACCAGAGGCGAAGGCGGCCAUCUAGUAGAUUACUGACACUGAGACGCGAAAGCAUGGGGAGCAAACAGGAUUAGAUACCCUGGUAGUCCAUGCCGUAAACGAUGAAUGCUAGGCCUUGCGAGUAUUUGACCCUUGCAGAGUCGAAGCUAACGCGUUAAGCAUUCCGCCUGGGGAGUACGAUCGCAAGAUUAAAACUCAAAGGAAUUGACGGGGACCCGCACAAGCGGUGGAGCAUGUGGUUUAAUUCGACGCAACGCGAAAAACCUUACCUGGGUUUAAAUUGUUAAAGAUAGACGUAGAAAUACGUUGUCUNUUAUGAGCUUUAACAAAGGUGUUGCAUGGCUGUCGUCAGUUCGUGUUGUGAAAUGUUGGGUUAAGUCCCGUAACGAGCGCAACCCCUGUUGGUAGUUGCCAUCGUUAAGUCGGGAACUCUACCGAGACUGCCAAUGUUAAAUUGGAGAAAGGAAGGGAUGACGUCAAGUCCUCAUGGCCCUUACGCCCAGGGCUACACACGUGCUACAAUGGACGAUACAGAAAGUCGCGAUAUCGAGAGGUGGAGCCAAUCUCCAAAGUCGUUCUUAGUUCAGAUUGUAGUCUGCAACUCGACUAUAUGAAGCAGGAAUCGCUAGUAAUCGCAGAUCAGAAUGCUGCGGUGAAUACGUUCCCGGGUCUUGUACACACCGCCCGUC